UACAGAGGGUGCGAGCGUUAAUCGGAAUUACUGGGCGUAAAGCGCGCGUAGGCGGCUUUUCAAGUCGAUUGUGAAAUCCCCGGGCUCAACCCGGGAACUGCGUCCGAUACUGGAAGGCUUGAAUCCGGGAGAGGGAUGCGGAAUUCCAGGUGUAGCGGUGAAAUGCGUAGAUAUCUGGAGGAACACCGGUGGCGAAGGCGGCAUCCUGGACCGGCAUUGACGCUGAGGCGCGAAAGCCAGGGGAGCAAACGGG
rnacentral:rRNA from 1 species